rnacentral:rRNA from 1 species
AGAUUAAGUUAUUAAGGGCGCACGGUGGAUGCCUUGGCACUAGAAGCCGACGAAGGACGUUACUAACGACGAUAUGCUUUGGGGAGCUGUAAGUAAGCUUUGAUCCAGAGAUUUCCGAAUGGGGAAACCCAGCACGAGUUAUGUCGUGUUAUCGAUAUGUGAAUACAUAGCAUAUCUGAAGGCAGACGCGGAGAACUGAAACAUCUUAGUACCCGCAGGAAGAGAAAGAAAAAUCGAUUCCCUGAGUAGCGGCGAGCGAAACGGGAAGAGCCCAAACCAACGAGCUUGCUUGUUGGGGUUGUAGGACACUCUAUACGGAGUUACAAAAGAACAGACUAGACGAAUCAUCUGGAAAGAUGAAUCAAAGAAGGUAAUAAUCCUGUAGUCGAAAGUUUGUUCACUCUUGAGUGGAUCCUGAGUACGACGGAACACGAGAAAUUCCGUCGGAAUCUGGGAGGACCAUCUCCCAAGGCUAAAUACUCUCUAGUGACCGAUAGUGAACCAGUACCGUGAGGGAAAGGUGAAAAGUACCCCGGAAGGGGAGUGAAAUAGAACUUGAAACCGUGUGCUUACAAGUAGUCAGAGCCCGUUAAUGGGUGAUGGCGUGCCUUUUGUAGAAUGAACCGGCGAGUUACGAUUUGAUGCAAGGUUAAGCAGUGAAUGUGGAGCCGUAGCGAAAGCGAGUCUGAAUAGGGCGUUGAGUAUUUGGUCGUAGACCCGAAACCAGGUGAUCUACCCAUGACCAGGUUGAAGUUCAGGUAACACUGAAUGGAGGACCGAACCGACUUACGUUGAAAAGUGAGCGGAUGAGUUGUGGGUAGCGGAGAAAUUCCAAUCGAACCUGGAGAUAGCUGGUUCUCUCCGAAAUAGCUUUAGGGCUAGCCUCAAGUGAUGAUUAUUGGAGGUAGAGCACUGUUUGGACGAGGGGCCCUUAUCGGGUUACCGAAUUCAGACAAACUCCGAAUGCCAAUCAAUUUAACUUGGGAGUCAGAACGCGGGUGAUAAGGUCCGUGUUCGAAAGGGAAACAGCCCAGACCACCAGCUAAGGUCCCAAAAUAUAUGUUAAGUGGAAAAGGAUGUGGCGUUGCCCAGACAACUAGGAUGUUGGCUUAGAAGCAGCCAUCAUUUAAAGAGUGCGUAAUAGCUCACUAGUCGAGUGACACUGCGCCGAAAAUGUACCGGGGCUAAACAUAUUACCGAAGCUGUGGAUUGUCCGUAAGGACAAUGGUAGGAGAGCGUUCUAAGGGCGUUGAAGCAUGAUCGCAAGGACAUGUGGAGCGCUUAGAAGUGAGAAUGCCGGUGUGAGUAGCGAAAGACGGGUGAGAAUCCCGUCCACCGAUUGACUAAGGUUUCCAGAGGAAGGCUCGUCCGCUCUGGGUUAGUCGGGUCCUAAGCUGAGGCCGAUAGGCGUAGGCGAUGGAUAACAGGUUGAUAUUCCUGUACCACCAUUAUUCGUUUUAAGCGAUGGGGGGACGCAGUAGGAUAGGCGAAGCGUACGAUUGGAUUGUACGUCCAAGCAGUGAGAUUGAGUGUUAGGCAAAUCCGGCAUUCUUAAGAUUGAGCUGUGAUGGGGAGAGGAAAUUGUUUCCUCGAGUCGUUGAUUUCACACUGCCAAGAAAAGCCUCUAGCUAGAAUUGUGGUGCCCGUACCGCAAACCGACACAGGUAGUCAAGAUGAGAAUUCUAAGGUGAGCGAGCGAACUCUCGUUAAGGAACUCGGCAAAAUGACCCCGUAACUUCGGGAGAAGGGGUGCUCUUUAGGGUUAACGCCCAGGAGAGCCGCAGUGAAUAGGCCCAAGCGACUGUUUAUCAAAAACACAGGUCUCUGCUAAACCGUAAGGUGAUGUAUAGGGGCUGACGCCUGCCCGGUGCUGGAAGGUUAAGAGGAGUGGUUAGCUUCUGCGAAGCUACGAAUCGAAGCCCCAGUAAACGGCGGCCGUAACUAUAACGGUCCUAAGGUAGCGAAAUUCCUUGUCGGGUAAGUUCCGACCCGCACGAAAGGCGUAACGAUUUGGGCACUGUCUCAACGAGAGACUCGGUGAAAUCAUAGUACCUGUGAAGAUGCAGGUUACCCGCGACAGGACGGAAAGACCCCGUGGAGCUUUACUGUAGUCUGAUAUUGAAAUUCGGCACAGCUUGUACAGGAUAGGUAGGAGCCUGAGAUACGUGAGCGCUAGCUUACGUGGAGGCGUUGGUGGGAUACUACCCUCGCUGUGUUGGAUUUCUAACCCGCACCAUUUAUCAUGGUGGGAGACAGUGUCAGAUGGGCAGUUUGACUGGGGCGGUCGCCUCCUAAAGAGUAACGGAGGCGCUCAAAGGUUUCCUCAGAAUGGUUGGAAAUCAUUCAUAGAGUGUAAAGGCAUAAGGAAGCUUGACUGCGAGACUUACAAGUCGAGCAGGGUCGAAAGACGGACUUAGUGAUCCGGUGGUUCCGCAUGGAAGGGCCAUCGCUCAACGGAUAAAAGCUACCCCGGGGAUAACAGGCUUAUCUCCCCCAAGAGUUCACAUCGACGGGGAGGUUUGGCACCUCGAUGUCGGCUCAUCGCAUCCUGGGGCUGUAGUCGGUCCCAAGGGUUGGGCUGUUCGCCCAUUAAAGCGGUACGCGAGCUGGGUUCAGAACGUCGUGAGACAGUUCGGUCCCUAUCCGUCGUGGGCGUAGGAAAUUUGAGAGGAGCUGUCCUUAGUACGAGAGGACCGGGAUGGACAUACCUCUGGUGUACCAGUUGUCGUGCCAACGGCAUCGCUGGGUAGCUAUGUAUGGACGGGAUAAGUGCUGAAAGCAUCUAAGCAUGAAGCCCCCCUCAAGAUGAGAUUUCCCAACUUCGGUUAUAAGAUCCCUCAAAGAUGAUGAGGUUAAUAGGUUCGAGGUGGAAGCAUAGCGAUAUGUGUAGCUGACGAAUACUAAUCGAUCGAAGACUUAAUCAAAUUUUA